AGGUCAAGAAAAUAUAAAGUAAUAGGAAUUCAAGUAGAGCAAAAUGGCUGAACACAAUUCGGAUCAGAAUUACGAAAACCCUGCAUAUCAAACUGACGAGCAAAAUCCAUAUGAAGUCUUGGAAAACGAGGAUGCCGAAGGAUAUAUUUCGAUAAAAAAUAUUAAAGCAACCCCUAAAGCGUUAGGAAGAGACCUGGAAGAAAAUCAUCGAAAAUCAUCAAAGACCUUUGCAAAAACAG